CAGAUUGUCUGGCAGGAGGGCUGCAGGUGGGGUGGCCGGGCAGGCUCCUAAUACUAAGAGCUAAUGUGUACUGACAGAAUAUGAGAGUGCUAUGUAGCAAGCACUCUCCUGGGAAAGUGGGGCCUAUAGAUGGGAGGCACCACCCAAUAUCACCCAGCUCUAGAGGGAUGGCAGAGACUCACACCGGGGAAUGUGAGACCAGAGCGAGAUUAACUAGCAUUCUAACGAGAAGGCAGAGUCAGGUUAUGGACUGAGACCCCCACAACCUGGUAGGCGGGGUUCACUCAGUCCAUUCCUGACCAGCAAAAGCCAAACACAAAAUGUGUUGGACUGAUGCCCACGAGGACCAGACCAGGAACCGGGAUUCCCCCCAGUCCUCUCAGCUCGCCCCAGUGAUGGCAGCUGGACCUGGGAGGCUGUCCGUGUGCCUGUCACUUGAGAGGCAGAGAAGGACAUGCCAAGUGUCUUGUCACCAACACCUGACUCUGAGCACCAUUCAAAUGACAGUAGCCCUUGUCCCCUGCCCAGCUACCUCUGCUACUUGAGACCUUGGGCCCUCUGAGGUUAGGACAGUGGGUUGGCCUGUAGGCAGGGAGGGAGAACAGUGUGUCGCUGGCUGCAGGCUCCGCACCGACUGUUACAGAAUCCGUUAUGCGUUCCAUUUGGUCAGUGUGGACAGCUAGUGACAGUUACAGCAAGGACAGUUACUUUCAGUACAUCUGUCCUGAAAUUAAGUUUGGUCACUCGAAAAGGUGACCAAACUUGAUUUCAGGACAGAUGUACUGAAAAGUGAUCAGUGUCAAGAAGUCCAGUCAACUUAUAAUUUACAUGGAAUUUUUUGUAAUGUGCCCAGAGCACAAGGAAGGCACAAGUGUCCAAGUGAACUGGAGAACUAGAAUUCUGAGGUGAGCCUGUGUCUCCAGGUCACCACUGUUCACUUGGUUACAAGAGCCCAUCUCCAAAAUAUGUGAUCGUGUUCCUCCAGAGGUUACUAAAUUUACUAUCUCAAAUAAGCUGGUUGAUUGGAAAGAUCAGGUAACAAAAUCAAAUAUAUAUCUUUAGAUCUGUGCAUAUUUUUGUCAUUUAAUUUUCAAAUUAAGUUUCUUUUACUUUCACAUUUCAAAUAUAACAGUAACAAUAAUUAUUCACAAUUGGGAAAUUAUUCUGUCAGAGUAAAGACUUUUAAUUACAAGGUUUAAGACACUUCCAGAAUGAGUUUAAUAUUCAUGGAGCAAAUUUCGGUCACUGGAAUAUAAUACCAGAAAGAUUAUAUUCAGGCCCAUAUAAGUCAGAGAGAGAGGCCUUUGCACAGGUGUGAACUACUGGCUCUGGAAGACCAAGUGGUGUGAUGACCCUGCACUGCCAACAAAGGCCAUGGAUGGAAGGCACUGGACACACUGCCUGGACCAUAGAAAUGAUCCGCAGUACACGUGGGCCACCGCAAACACAUAAGCUGGCUGCUCCGUCUGUGACCACCACAAUUACCAGUGAAUAAAAUUAGGGCUGGUAAACACAGUCAUAAUACCAAGAAAUUAACAAUUCUAAAAACCAAUUUUCCCCAUUAAUUCAACUGCUUGGUUUAUUAAGGCAUAACAUUUAAAUGCAGACUCAGAAAAACUAAAAAUAUCUCAACACCUUAUUUUUCUAACUAUCUCCUUUUCCCAUAGGCUAUAUUUCAUUUCAGUCAAAUCAAAAUUAAAUCUGAAUUUUAACAUAGGAAAAGCAAUUCAAAGCACCAUUCCCUGGUGAUUUCAAUUAAUUCCAUCAUACUCUACAUACAAACAGUGAACACUCUUCCAUGAGGGACUGGCAAUUCAACUUGCUCCCUUGUUCUCCACAGAAGCAUCUAGUUUUAUGUUCUCUAACUAGCUUACCUGAAAGCUAAACUGGGUGUGGAUCAGCUGGGAUUACCUAGCUGGCGCGGCUGUUGCUGCUUCUGGACAACCCCACUGUCCACCUCUAGUGGGGACACCAAUGGAGCGUCUGCAAAUCCAAGAAGUUCUGAGAGGCUCUGCACAGGCACGGCGGACAGGUAAGUGUCUCAAAAACAUUUUCAUACCUAGUUCUUUUUUAAAAUUUUGUUUUAGUUAUAGGUAGACACAAUACCUUGACUUUAUUUAAUUUAUAUGUGGUGCUGACGAUUGAACCCAGUGCCUCACACAUGCGAGGUGAGUGCUCUGCUGCUGAGCCCCAGCCCCAGCUCCUAGUUCUGUAUUUCAAUUGAUGGUUUAAUCAGCAUUUAAAGGAAAGAGGAGAGCAAGGUCCAUGUUCUCUUAGGCCACACCAGUCUAGGGAUAAAGGAGAUGAAAGAAGUUUGUAAAGGCCAACAGGAGCUGCCCCUUCACUCUGCUCCACUCUGGUGCUGGUCCCGGCCCUUAUGACACUUGGCCUCCAGCUCCAUUCAGAGUUCAGCUGCCGCUGACCUUCAAGAGAUGGGCCUCCGGUGUUCAUGCAGAUGUUAACCUUCUGGGGAUGCUUUGAGGACCUAGGAAAAGUAAUGAAAUGCUACACAGAGAACACAGAAUUUUGCACACAAUGUGAGGAAUGAGGGAACCAUGAAACCCCCAAAACCUAUCAGUGAAUUCCAGUUGUGAGCCCUAGACAUGAGUUUUUCACAGGAAGGCUCCUUGCUCUCACGUGAACUGAGCGAGCUCAGCCAGACACAGACCCGGGAAAACAUCAACGUGUGUACUUGCCAGGUAUGAUCCCUGCUCAUGCUGUUGGCCAGAGGAGAACUGGCUACAAGGAAGGAGAAGCACUGUGGGUGCAGAAGAGAAAAAGCAGGGGUGGGGACAGGUCAUGCACAAGGCAAACACCAUUUGAAUUUUAAAGUCUUUCAGGAAAUGAAAACACACACACUUUCCAGUGGGGUUCCCAAUUGGCUCUCUUCCCAGUGCAUGGUUCCUGCAGCCUGCAGAUGGGGAUGGAGACGAUGACUCAAAGGUAGAGCAGAGCACAGUGAAAGCAGACAGACAGACCUCUAGUAGACCUUGGACUCGCAGCUCCACAUUUGCAAGGCUGUGGCAGGGCCAUGGUGUGGAAAAGCAGGUCCCUGGGGACCAUGUGGCUGCUUUCUCCCCAUGUAUACUGAGAACUAAAUUCUCUUAUUUUCAUGACUCCUGUCAUCUGUAAUUGUCUAAAACAACUCUUCUCAUUGACAGGGUUUCCUGCAGCCUUUCCUCUACUUGCACUCCACACAUACUGGACUGGACUCCUCUGGCUCUUCCUCUGGCGGUCACUGCCUCAUCCUGCAGCUGGUGAGCUGCACUCUGCACCCCAUAGCAGCACCCCUGUGGUACCUCUGCAAUAGGAUGUCUUGGGUCUCCUCCAAGCACCAAGGCCAGGUGCUGGA
rnacentral:lncRNA from 1 species